CUUUAUUAGAAAUAUUAUGGCCCCAGAAUAAUUACUGCAUCACAAUAUAAUUUAUAAUCUGACAGAACAAUGCUAAAAACGGCAGCUUCUAUUUUUUCAUUUGAAGUUUUGUAUGCUAUUAUUCUUUAUUUUGCACCUGUUAUCAAAAGUUUAGUAUCACCAUGCAAACUUCGGCUAGUACAAACAUUUGAUGACUUUGAAUAUUUUCAGGAUGGAGACAUAAUUCUUGGUGGAAUUAUAAGUGUGAAUUCAUUUGCAG